CACAUCAUAAUUCAAAGGAACCUAUAAAUAUAUCCCUAUUUCCUGGUAUCAUCCAAAUGUAGUGUAUAAUAAGAAAGCUUUGACAAUGGCUCAAUUCAACUGCCACCAUAUCAUAUUUCAUAUCCCUUGCUUUCAUAUGGGGUUGCACAGUUCAGUAGUCUUUAGGCUUUAUAUAUGCCAUAAAGUUUCAACUCUCUUCUUUUUUAUGCUUUCAUAUCCCUUGUUUUCAUAUGGGGUUGCACAGUUCAGUAGUCUUUAGGCUUUAUAUAUGCCAUAAAGUUUCAGCUCUCUUCCUUUUUAUGCUCUCCACUUAACAAUGUCUAUAGGUCUCUUACUGUUUCAAUUUCUUUCUUUGCAAGUAAAGGAAAUCCGAUCCAGUAAAAAAGCUUCUCUCGAAUGGUAUGCCAUCACCGUUCCAAAAAUUUAAAGCAUUUAACCUCAGUUUGACUGCAUUGGAGGUGCAAGUUUCGGACACGGAAAAGGAAGAAAAUCACACACUGGUUUAUCUUUUUGUUUCACCCGAGGUACAUCCCAUGUGAGGCAAAAAACUGAAGAUUUGGGUGGCCUAGAGACAUUGUAUUUAGGGAGCCUGAUUCGAGAGCUGGCAGCUGGGGUUCAGUAUGUAUUUAGGUGCAAGCUCAGUCAUAAAUCCUGAACUCUGGAGCAUGGUUGAUGGUCUGUAAUAAAUGUGGGAUCGUGGUUAAUGACAAUUGAUCUGACUGACAGUCUUCACGUGAAAUUGAAGACUGAACCUAGGAGAAAAAUAAAAGGGAUAUUUACUCAUCAGUUCCUAGAUACUAUUUUUUUUAAAUUAAUUCAUUUAAGUUUUUAUUUGUAUUCCAGUAAUUGCAACUAUUGUUUGUGGUGUUUUGUAUUUAAGUUUGAUUACCAAAUUAAACUUCUUAAGAAAUUGUAUUUUAAAAUAAGAUCAUGAUGAAAUGAAGUUAAUUAAUUUUUUAAAGACAAAAUUUCAGAUGUUUUGGGGGUGUCGACUAUCAAAAUUGAAUAAAAUGUAAAGUAAAAAUAGGAGAAGAGAUGUUGGUUUGAUGACAUCCGUAGAACAUUAAACAAUGUAAUUGGAAUACACUGGUUUUAAACAUUAAAAAAUAAAUCUAAAUAGGCUUAAAAACAAUGUUAUAUAAAUUUGUCCUUUUAAGGUUAAUUUUCUUCUUUUCAGAUGAAUAAAAGUCAGUAAUAAUCUCAAUCUUCUCGCGCAUUCAUGAUCAAGGCUCCAUCAUAUACUUCUUGUAAAAUUGGAAAUCAACUAUUUUAUCCCCAUCUCCAUUAUGGAUGUUUUUCACUAUUAAUCUAUCUAAAGAAAAAGAUAUAAAUUAAAAUUAAAAAAAAAACCUAAAAUCUUUUUUAGGAAUCCGCCACUGCCAACACUUUAAAUUCACCUCUGAAUAAAAUGAAUUAUUAAUAUUAAAUUAUAUGACACCAAUGAUGUGGUGAUAGAAAAUUUUAUUUAAAAUCAAGCAUCAAAGGUUAAAAUUGAAUUCAAAUAAUCUAUUUUUUUACUCCAAUAAUUAAAAUAAUUAAAUUAAAUAUCAAAAUAGAUCACCUUACAAAUUAAUUACCGAAAUGGAUCGUUAAUAAAAUUUUUCAAUACCGCUUGACUAAAAUAUAAUUAGUGAUUAUUUUUAUUAUGUUACAUAAUAGUUAUUUUAGUUUUAAGUAGUAAAAUGUGUGAUUUUAAAUUAGGUUGUUGUGGGUUCAAUUUUCACAUAUAACACUUUAUUUUUUAUUUUUGCUUCAAAAGGUAAAUUCUACUUUAUUAUUAUUUGACAAAAUAUUAUUAUUUGUGGAAAUCAAACCCUCGACCAUAAUUUUAUUGUAGCAUAAUACUUUACUAUAACAACUGUUUUAUAAUAUGAUAAAUAAAAUAAUUAAUUAUAUUGUAAUAUGGUGCCGUCAAUAUGUCAGGCGGCACCAAUAUUUUUUUUUUAAAAUCCAUGUGGUAUCGUCAACUAGUCAAACAGUAUUAAAAAAUAUUAUAGCAAAAUUUGUAGGGUGUGACCCAUUUUGAUAUUUAAUUUUUUUUAAAAAUAUUAUUAAAGUGCCACAAUUUUUAUUUACUAAAUAAAAAAGAAAGAAAGUAUAGCCACCUCCAAUUUUUUAUUUAAGUGUGAUGGCACCUUUAUUUUUUUUAAAACAAAAUUUAAAAUCAAUUAAAAUGUAUAACCAACAUUGACAAACACACAUGAUAAAUACACUAAAUAAUAAUCUAAUAAUUAUUUUAAAAAGUAAUACUUAUGCCUAUUGUUUCUAAAAAAUUAAGAAAAAAUAUAAAUAUUUUUAUUUUAAAGAUAUGUUCACUAAAAUUACUUAAAUAGUAAAAAUAUUAUAUUCUGAAAUUUUUGUUUGUUUUCUUUUUCAAAAUUCUGAGCACUUUAAUGACAUGAAAAUGACUCCCACUUCAAUCUUUCAUUUUUGGUAACAGAAAAGACUGCGGGCAGCGUUUGGUAAGGGCCAAAACUUAAAAGUAGUAUAAAAGAAAUUCACUAUUUUAAAAAAAAUGGUCUGUGAGAGAGCUGACAUAUUUGGGAGGGUUAAAAUAUGUUAUAAACCCUUUUCCCUAUAUUAGAAUCGAGUCCAACGAACGUUGGUUACCUCUUGAGCCAACUAAUAACUUCGCCAAAAACAAAUCAGACCUACCAUAAAAACAAUUGCCUAAUCAUAGAUUAGCACAAAGAAUGUCAUACUUGUGCCUUCACACAUACAUGCAUGCGUUAUGAUGUCUACGUCCAAGGCUAUUACAAGCUAAUCUUUUAGGUUGAUGCCUAAACCAUGAAACAUACAUGCAUGUGCUUUGUUUUGCUGUUGGAUGAACCAACAGCAUAUUUACGGUAGACCCAUAACCCACUUUCAUGUUCUAAAUGCAAACAAACAAAUGCAUUUAAAGCUACCAUCCAAAACAAUUCUUAUAUUAUCAUAUCAAGGGGUGUAGCCCAAGUUUAGCCAUGGCGUACAUCAACCACAUCAUAAUUCAAAGGAACCUAUAAAUAUAUCCCUAUUUCCUGGUAUCAUCCAAAUGUAAAUAGUGUAUAAUAAGAAAGCUUUGACAAUGGCUCAAUUCAAUUGCCACCAUAUCAUAUUUCAUAUCCUUUGCUUUCAUAUGGGGUUGCACAGUUCAGUCUUUAGGCUUUAUCUAUGCCAUAAAGUUUCAACUCUCUUCUUUUUUAUGCUCUCCACUUAACAAUGUCUAUAGGUCUCUUAACUGUUUCAAUUUCUUUCUUUGCAAGUAAAGGAAAUCCGAUCCAGUAAAAAAGCUUCUCUCGAAUGGUAUGCCAUCACCGUACCAAAAAUUUAAAGCAUUUAACCUCAGUUUGACUGCAUUGGAGGUGCAAGUUUCAGACACGGAAAAGGAAGAAAAUCACACACUGGUUUAUCUUUUUGUUUCACCCGAGGUACAUCCCAUGUGAGGCAAAAAACUGAAAAUCUGGGUGGUAUACCUGAAGCAGUUUUAGCCAGUUUUCCGUGGCUUGCAUAAGGGAAUUUGCAUGUUGACGCUCGCUCACACCAUUCUGUGUCCAUAUGGAUCCUUCCAUCUUGUAACACCCCAUUCCAAAAACAGGUAACGAAAUCUUUGGGAUGCCAUUAGCAUC
rnacentral:lncRNA from 1 species